GACGAACGCUGGCGGCGUGCUUAACACAUGCAAGUCGAACGAUGACGACCGAGCUUGCUCGGUCUGAUUAGUGGCGAACGGAUGAGUAACACGUGAGCAACCUGCCCUUCACUCUGGGAUAACCUCGGGAAAUCGGGGCUAAUACCGGAUAUGAGCUCCUGUCGCAUGGCGGGUGUUGGAAAGUUUUUCGGUGAAGGAUGGGCUCGCGGCCUAUCAGUUUGUUGGUGAGGUAGUGGCUCACCAAGGCGAUGACGGGUAGCCGGCCUGAGAGGGCGACCGGCCACACUGGGACUGAGACACGGCCCAGACUCCUACGGGAGGCAGCAGUGGGGAAUAUUGCACAAUGGGCGAAAGCCUGAUGCAGCGACGCCGCGUGAGGGAUGACGGCCUUCGGGUUGUAAACCUCUUUCAGCAGGGAAGAAGCGAAAGUGACGGUACCUGCAGAAGAAGCGCCGGCUAACUACGUG
rnacentral:rRNA from 1 species